UACGAAGGGGGCUAGCGUUGCUCGGAAUCACUGGGCGUAAAGCGCACGUAGGCGGAUUGCUAAGUCGGGGGUGAAAUCCUGGAGCUCAACUCCAGAACUGCCUUCGAUACUGGCGAUCUUGAGUCCGGGAGAGGUGAGUGGAACUGCGAGUGUAGAGGUGAAAUUCGUAGAUAUUCGCAAGAACACCAGUGGCGAAGGCGGCUCACUGGCCCGGUACUGACGCUGAGGUGCGAAAGCGUGGGGAGCAAACAGG
rnacentral:rRNA from 1 species